AGUGAACGCUGGCGGUAGGCCUAACACAUGCAAGUCGAACGGCAGCACAGUAAGAGCUUGCUCUUACGGGUGGCGAGUGGCGGACGGGUGAGGAAUACAUCGGAAUCUACUUUUUCGUGGGGGAUAACGUAGGGAAACUUACGCUAAUACCGCAUACGACCUACGGGUGAAAGCAGGGGAUCUUCGGACCUUGCGCGAUUGAAUGAGCCGAUGUCGGAUUAGCUAGUUGGCGGGGUAAAGGCCCACCAAGGCGACGAUCCGUAGCUGGUCUGAGAGGAUGAUCAGCCACACUGGAACUGAGACACGGUCCAGCCUCCUACGGGGGGCAGCAGUGGGGAAUAUUGGACAAUGGGCGAAGGCCUGAUCCAGCCAUACCGCGUGGGUGAAGAAGGCCUUCGGGUUGUAAAGCCCUUUUGUUGGGAAAGAAGAGCAGCAGGUUAAUACCCCGCUGUUCUGACGGUACCCAAAGAAUAAGCACCGGCUAACUUCGUG
rnacentral:rRNA from 1 species